ensembl:misc_RNA Y_RNA Y RNA
GCCUGUUCCGAGUGCAGUGGGAUUUACAACUAACUGAUCACAACCAGUUACAGAUUUCUUUGUUCCUUCUCCACUCCCACCGUUUUGCUUGACUAGCCUUUA